rnacentral:lncRNA from 1 species
CAGCAAGUACUCGUUUGACAUGACCGAGAAGACAAGCACAGAGACUCUAGUUUUGGGCGUUGGACCUGUGAAGCCCCAAUUGGAAGGUGGUGAAGUUGCAGCUGAGGACAGUGGCUGCAAGUGCGGAUCAAACUGCACUUGCGACCCAUGCAACUGCAAAUGAGGUGAAGAUAUAUAAAGCUUGAAGCAGAUAUAGCUGCAAUAUAUAUAUAUAUAUGUACGAAAAGUACACACCUAAUGAUAAUAAUAAGUUUGUGUUGUGUUCAAUCAACUUGAUUUGAAGUUUCAUAAUAAAGUGGGCAUGGCUGGCCUUAUUGGAAGUUCAAAUGCUCUUGGAUUUGUUGUGGGUGUUAUAAGCUAUGGUCACUUUGUGUUUGUUCUGGCUUAUAUAAAUUAUGUAGUUUGAAUCAUCAAUCUCUAUGUGCUUAUAAAUGGAAUACUAUUAAUGUUGAUCUGUAAUAGACUAACCACACGCUUUCAUUAUAUAUCAUUCUGAU